GCCUGUAAGGAGUGAUGGGGGCGGUGAGGACCUGUGAGGGUUAAUGGCGGGCGCUGUGAGAGGUUGCUGUGAGGGAUAGUGGGAGCUUUGAAGGAUCAGGCUGUGAGAGGUGACAGUGAAGGACGUGAUGGAUCAGGGGGUAUGCAGGGUAAUGAUGAGCGGCUGUGAGAGGUGAUGGGGACUGUGAGGGCUGGUGGGUGGUGGUGAGGGGCAGUGUGGGCAGACAGGGCGGUAGGAGCAGUGUUGUGAUAAGGGUAUAGAAUUUGGCAGAAAGAAACACCCUUGUUCAGCUGGUCUUUGGAGAUCAGAGGGGCUGGGGGUGGCCGGGCUUAUCUCUGAUUAUAACAGUUUGCACUGUAAGUGGUUGUGUUCGAUAGGAACUUCCGCAAGCACAGGUUCUCAAACUGCGAAUCUGGUAAUAUUCUAUUAGAAUUUUCACCAUCACAAAUUCACGAAUAGUGUGGUUUACUGAAGCAGCAGAAAUACAAGGGAGAAUGGCUUCAAACUGAAAGACAGACCUGCUCCUCCGGCCAGCUGAGCCUUUCCUGAUAUCAGCUGUGCAGAUCUCCAUCCACGGAGAUAACUCAGAGGAUACACAGCAUAGGCUGCAGUUAUUCAGCCCUAGCCCUUGCCUGGCUCCUUGGUCAUCAUCCCACAGACAACAGUGAGGGGUGAGGAGGCCUUGGGCUGUGUUUCUGCCAUGUGGGCUGGGAAAAGCUCAGGGCAAAUACUGGAUACAACUAUUGCUUUAGGAAAGCUUUAAAAUUUGACUACUUUUGUGCUCAGUAACAAUGUGACUGCUUUUUUGCAAAGCCUACAAUGUCCGGGACAGAAAUUGGUUCAUUUUAAAGAUGGAGGAUUUCCAUAGUGUUUAUUUGACUUGGCUUGGCAGCAGUGUUCUGUUUACGACUGGAUAAAUAACUGCCACAUUAAAGAUUAUUAACUAGCAAUGCUUCAGUGACCAAUAAAGUCCUAAUCUUUUAUAUGGUGUUGUAAAUGUA